rnacentral:rRNA from 1 species
UACGUAGGGGGCAAGCGUUGUCCGGAAUCAUUGGGCGUAAAGAGCGUGUAGGCGGCUCGGUAAGUCCGCUGUGAAAGUCCAGGGCUCAACCCUGGAAUGCCGGUGGAAACUGUCGAGCUAGAGUCCGGAAGAGGCGAGUGGAAUUCCUGGUGUAGCGGUGAAAUGCGUAGAGAUCGGGAGGAACACCAGUGGCGAAGGCGGCUACCUGGACCAGCACUAGACACUGGAGCACGAAAGCGUGGGGAGCAAACAGG